rnacentral:tRNA from 1 species
CACCCGAUGACUGAAAGUAAGUUUAGAUCUUUUAAAUCUAUCAUAGUAUAUUAACGUCUACUUCUGGUG